rnacentral:ncRNA from 2 species
GCGUUCCUCGCUGGAGAGAGGCUCACCCCGAGUGAGUCCACCGAAGGGGCAAGCGGUCGACCGGGAUCCGGAGGCCGCCAAUCUCUCAGGUAAAGCGGACAGAGAGGGCAUC